rnacentral:ncRNA from 1 species
AUGGAUGGCGCUUAAGUUGUAUACCUAUACAUUACCGCUAAAGUAGAUGAUUUAUAUUACUUGUGAUAUAAAUUUUGAAACUUUAGUGAGUAGGAAGGUACAAUGGUAUGCGUAGAAGUGUUUGGCGUAAGCCUUCAUGGAGCUGCCAUUGGCACAGAUCUUGGUGGUAGUAGCAAAUAAUCGAAUGAGACCUUGGAGGACUGAAGUGGAGAAGGGUUUCGUGUGAACAGUGGUUGAUCACGAGUUAGUCGGUCCUAAGUUCAAGGCGAAAGCCGAAAAUUUUCAAGUAAAAAAUCAGUGAGUAAUAUUGUCAAAUCUUUUAUGAUUUUUAAAUACUUGAAUAAUUUUGAACGAAAGGGAAUACGGUUCCAAUUCCGUAACCUGUUGAGUAUCCGUUUGUUAUUAAAUAUGGGCCUCGUGCUCAUCCUGGCAACAGGAACGACCAUAAAGAAGCCGUCGAGAGAUAUCGGAAGAGUUUUCUUUUCUGUUUUAUAGCCGUACUACCAUGGAAGUCUUUCGCAGAGAGAUAUGGUAGAUGGGCUAGAAGAGCAUGACAUAUACUGUUGUGUCGAUAUUUUCUCCUCGGACCUUGAAAAUUUAUGGUGGGGACACGCAAACUUCUCAACAGGCCGUACCAAUAUCCGCAGCUGGUCUCCAAGGUGAAGAGUCUCUAGUCGAUAGAAUAAUGUAGGUAAGGGAAGUCGGCAAAUUAGAUCCGUAACUUCGGGAUAAGGAUUGGCUCUGAAGAUUGAGAUAGUCGGGCUUGAUUGGGAAACAAUAACAUGGUUUAUGUGCUCGUUCUGGGUAAAUAGAGUUUCUAUCAUUUAUGGUAGUUACUUGUUCCCCGGAUAGUUUAGUUACGUAGCCAAUUGUGGAACUUUCUUGCUAAAAUUUUUUAAGAAUACUAAUUGGGUUAAACCAGUUAGUUCUUAUUAAUUAUAACGAUUAUCAAUUAACAAUCAAUUUCAGAACUGGCACGGGACUUUGGGGAAUCCGACUGUCUAAUUAAAACAAAGCAUUGUGGAUUGGCCCUAGGCGGGUGUUGACACAAUGUGAUUUCUGCCCAGUGCUCUGAAUGUCAAAGUGAAGAAAUUCAAGUAAGCGCGGGUCACGGCGGGAGUACUAUGACUCUCUUAAGGUAGCCAAAUGCCUCGUCAUCUACUAGUGACGCGCAUGAUGGAUUAACGAGAUGCUACUGUCCUAUCUA